rnacentral:lncRNA from 1 species
GCGAGUUUUCGCUCACUCAUGUUCGAGGGAAAAUUGCUUGCGUGCAUGGGGAGGAUGGAUGCGUUUGACCAUAAGAAGCACCCAAAAUCCUAAAAUUGUAGAUCGCCUGUCGUCACACGCCAUGCCACGUGUGAAAAUGUCUGUUGUUUAGCUUAGUGAGAGGCAAGUAGGUCGGACUCGGGGGUCAGUUUCAGAGCAAUUGAGGCAAAGGGGUUGGGCCAUGAGACCAUGUGCCUAAUUAGCACCAUUGUCAAAAUGGACGUUUUCCAAUUCCAGGUAAAACACGAGGCGUUCCCAGUGUGACUUCGAUCACGCAGCCACGGCAGCCAGGUCUAACAACGGGCUUGUGAGGUGCCUCGGACUACAAGGUUGCACGGUUUCAACAUCUGCGAAGUAGUUAGUGGUUUGCGCCUGCCAUUCUAGUCUUCACGGAUGUUCAUUGUGGCUUUCCAGGUUACUUGGAUAGGGACUCGGUGAUAUGCCCGCAUGCAGGUUUGGGCAGGGAACAUCACAAGAACUUACAAGACCAAGUGCUUGCGGCAUUUGCGAGUUUUCGCUCACUCAUGUUCGAGGGAAACAUGCUUGCGUGCAUGGGGAGGAUGGAUGCGUUUGACCUUAAGAAGCACCCAAAAUCACGCGUGAAAAAAUGUCUGUUGUUUAGAUUAGUGAGAGGCAAGUAGGUCGGACUCGGGGGUCAGUUUCAGAGGAAUUGAGGGAAGGGGGUUGGGCCAUGAGACCAUGUGCCUAAUUAGCACCAUUGUCAAAAAUGGACGUUUUCCAAUUCCAGGCAAAACACGAGGCGUUCCCAGUGUGACUUCGAUCACGCAGCCACGGCAGCCAGGUCUAACAACGGGCUUGUGAGGUGCCUCGGACUACAAGGUUGCACGGUUUCAACAUCUGCGAAGUAGUUAGUGGUUUGCGCCUGCCAUUCUAGUCUUCACGGAUGUUCAUUGUGGCUUUCCAGGUUACUUGGAUAGGGACUCGGUGAUAUGCCCGCAUGCAGGUUUGGGCAGGGAACAUCACAAGAACUUACAAGACCAAGUGCUUGCGGCAUUUGCGAGUUUUCGCUCACUCAUGUUCGAGGGAAACAUGCUUGCGUGCAUGGGGAGGAUGGAUGCGUUUGACCUUAAGAAGCACCCAAAAUCCUAAAAUUGUAGAUCGCCUGUCGUCACACGCAUGCCACGCUGAAAAUGUCUGUUAUUUAAUUAGUGAGAGGCAAGUAGGUCGGACUCGGGGGUCAGUUUCAGAGGAAUUGAGGGAAGGGGGUGGGGCCAUGAGACCAUGUGCCUUAUUAGCACCAUUGUCAAAAAUGGACGUUUCCCAAUUCCAGGCAAAACACGAGGCGUUCCCAGUGUGACUUCGAUCACGCAGCCACGGCAGCCAGGUCUAACAACGGGCUUGUGAGGUGCCUCGGACUACAAGGUUGCACGGUUUCAACAUCUGCGAAGUAGUUAGUGGUUUGCGCCUGCCAUUCUAGUCUUCACGGAUGUUCAUUGUGGCUUUCCAGGUUACUUGGAUAGGGACUCGGUGAUAUGCCCGCAUGCAGGUUUGGGCAGGGAACAUCACAAGAACUUACAAGACCAAGUGCUUGCGGCAUUUGCGAGUUUUCGCUCACUCAUGUUCGAGGGAAACAUGCUUGCGUGCAUGGGGAGGAUGGAUGCGUUUGACCUUAAGAAGCACGCCAUGCCACGCGUGAAAAUGUCUGUUGUUUAGAUUAGUGAGAGGCAAGUAG